CUGAUGUACAACUGAUUAAUUAUGAAUGUACACGUUCGAUAUCAAGUUUGAUAAACUGGGAUUUAUAGUGGGAAGUCACUACAAAUAACAGCCUAGUGUAUGGACUUUAUAUUGCACAACGUUAACUUUAUUUUUCCAAAUGAGAUUUCAAAUGUGAAAUAGUGGAGAUUUGACACUUGAAAAUCGUUCGCAUUCAAGACGUCCACCUGCACGGCAUAUUGAGGUUAUUAAGGAAGCCGUAUAAAACCAACCUAGUACUAGCAAUCGCCGAUUAUAGGGACUCCAUUGGGCUUUCUAAAGCCAUCUCCAUUUAAAAUUUGGUGGAAAUAUGAAGGUUUAGUGUACUUCGCAAUCCGAUUCCCGAUGGUUGAGCUAUCAGUGCCAAGGUAUAUAGGGGAAAUAGCGACAAGGGCUGAUCCAUCUUUGGCGCCAGCAGGAGGUCACAUAGUCGUGGUCAAUUCAAGAGCUUGUAAUUUAAUUUUGAUAACAAUAGAUACAAGUAAAAGAUAUACACGUACAUUGCGAUCUUCUCUUGAAGACAUCCAGAGAAGCACUACCACACACGGAAGGAAGCAGCCUAUUUAAAUUCCAUAACCGUGGUGAAUGAUUUGUCAUAACAGCUAGAGGUAUGUCGAGAGAUAUGACGCAAAACUCCGCCAAAAUUGAAGAGGUGGUACGACAAGGGUUUCCAACAAACAAAAUAGAAACAGAC